AAUUCCGGGUCAGGAAAACAUAACUUUUGGACGAGGGAGGGCGAAGGGAAAUAAAACGGCUCCCCCUCACAAAUCAAUUGAACACUUCUUUCAGAUAAAAGAAAAGGGGGCAAAGGCUCUCCGUGACGCAUCUGGGAGAAACCCAGCCGGAGACGCCGAGAGAAAAAGGCUUAUCCAGGUCAGACAGACGCGAUGACGACAAUCCACAUCCAGAAGGAUCACGUGCCGGGCUGCCCAUGCGCCGCGUCUUUCGCAUCCCCAGCGCCCCCUGGAGACUCCCGCGCAACAUCGCGCCUACCAGCUCCGCUCUUUGCAAGCAGCUGUUGCUCCGCCAGGAAGGGGGUGUCACCCCGGAAAAUCCCUCGCCGCCCGAAGUGGAAAUCCCCACCACGGAACUUUGAAGGGGGGGGGGGGAGAGAUGUCGUGUUCCUCCUAGUCGAACGGAAGAAAAAACAGAUAGUCCGGUCCGACCAACCCAGAAUCUCUUUGCAACUCUUGGCAAGCCGGUAGCAGAGAGAGCAAGAGGAGGAGUCGAGUUGUUGAGCGAGGGAAGAAGUCCUUCAUCCUAAGGACGGGAUUGGGAUUCAUGGCUCCCCAAGUUGCAUCGCCCAACGUCUGACUCGUUAACAUUGAAGAGGAUUAGUAGCAGACUGCAGGGUCUUUCCUCCGAGCCGGUCCGGGUUUCUCCUUAUAGAAUGGCUGGGUCACAGAUCAUCCCUCAAGCUUUAUUUCUGAGCAACAUGCUGAAAGCUGUGAAGAUAAGAGAACUGAUGUCGGAAGACCUUCUCAAGUGCAACAAUGGAAUUAUCCAGCAUUUUAAAACUAUGCAUAGAUACACCAUAGAGAUGUUCAGAAUGUGUCAUUUUUGCCCGCCUUUUCAGAAGAUUCUUCAAAAAUCUCUAGUUGACCAAGCAACCCAAAACUCACUGGAACGCCAAAAGAAGUUAAACUGGUGUCGAGAAGUUAAAAAACUUAUGCCACUGAAGACUAAUGGAGAUGGAAAUUGUCUCAUGCACGCUGCUUCCCAGUAUAUGUGGGGUGUCCAAGAUGUUGACCUGCUUCUGAGAAAAACGUUAUUUAAUGUACUUAAAGAAGCCGAUACACGCAAUUUUAAACUGCGCUGGCAGCGAGAAACACUUAAAUCACAGGAAUUUGUGGCAACAGGACUCUGCUUUGAUACCAGGAACUGGGAUGAUGAAUGGGACAAUCUUAUUAAAAUGGCAUCUGCAGAAACAUCAGUUGCACACACAGGCCUUCAGUAUACCUCUCUGGAAGAAAUCCAUAUAUUCGUCCUUGCUAAUAUCUUAAGGCGCCCCAUCAUAGUUGUUGCAGAUAAAAUGCUCAGAAGUCUGCAGUCAGGUUCCAGCUUUUCCCCUCUGAAUGUUGGUGGAAUAUAUCUGCCUCUCCAUUGGUCAGCAGAGGACUGUUACCGAUAUCCUAUCAUUCUUGCUUACGACAGUAUGCACUUCACUCCUUUGCUUGUUCUGAAAGAUAGCGGGCCAGAAAUCAGGGCAGUUCCUUUAGUCAGUUGCGAAAGAGGAAGAUUUGAAGACUUAAAAGUGCAUUUUUUAACUGACGCUGAAGAAAGGGAGAAAGAAAAACUGAUGAGAGACUACCUAAUGGUGAUUGAAAUUCCUGUACAAGGAUGGGACCCAGGGACAACACAUCUCAUUCAUGCUGCAAAGUUGGACGAAGGUAACUUGCCCAAAGAGAUUAAUCUGGUGGAAGAUUACUUUCAGCUGGUACAACAUGAGUACAAGCGGUGGAAAGAAAACAGUGAAUUUAGUGGGAAGGAAACAGCUGCGAGAAACAGGCUGGAGCUGCAGUUAUCCCAGCUAUCGCUUAUGGAGGCAAAAUGUGAAACUCCCAACUGUCCUUUCUACAUGUCUGUGAAUACCCAGCCAUUCUGCCAUGAGUGCUCUGAACAGAGACAAAGGGCAAAUUUGGUAAAGAGGCAGCAUUUCUGGUCCGGCUCAGAAAAGCCCCGGGUAAAUAGGUCCAGUUACCCAAAGGAUGAGCACCACCAGCCUCCUGCCUGGACCUUGGAGAAUUCUAGCACAGAAUCUCGUUCAGCACCCCCCACAGCUCCAAGUCUUUUUCUAUACAGUGAAACAACGGCCAUGAAAUGCAGGACCCCAGGCUGCCCUUUUACACUGAAUGUGCAAUAUAACGGGCUUUGUGAACGUUGCUACAGCUGUACAGAGAUCAAUCCUUGCAAUAAUCCAAGCGACCCACAGCAUUCAAAUUGUGUGACUUGCACAUCCUGCCUUAAGGACACCAACAGAACCUUCAAUGGGAUGUGUAGCGCUUGCUUCAAACGGACUAGAGACCCUUCCUCAAAUGCCAGCUCUGGCGGUUUGCCUUCAAGCCAUCAGAGGUCCUCUUCUGAUCCUAUUCCUGUAUCACAAAGUUUUUUGCAGCAUUCCUGUCACACAGCAACCAACAGCAAUAAGGUGGACGUGCCACCGUAUGUUCAGCCCCAAAGAACGGAACCGAGGACGAGUAACAAUAAAUGCAGGAAGCGUGGCUGUAAUUUUUUUGGGACUUUGCAGAAUGAAGGCUUUUGUACCCUGUGUUAUUUUGAAUAUCAAGAAAAUAGAGAGGCUCCCCUGCUUCAUCAGCGAAGGUCUCCUGUGACUUCUCCUGUUUUUGAGCAUCCUGGGGUCUCAGCUGCUGUCUAUCAGAAUACCAUUUCCUGUCCGGGUCGAGAAUGUGUCACAAUAGGGAGCACCAUGCUUGAGGGAUACUGCCAGAAAUGUUUUAUUGAAGCACAGAGCAAGCGGCUCUACGAAGCCAGAAGAACGGAAGACAAAGUAGUGAGACAAUCAGAGCAAACGGGACAACAUCAAGAUUUACACCAGAAAACUACACACUCUCAAAAACGGAAAUGUGCUAAAGCUUCAUGUAGAAAUAACUUAGCUUCUAGGAGUGCGGAGGUGUGUCAGGAGUGCUUGCGUGUCAGCCAACGGGGACAGUCCGGAACACCUCCGGUUGAACCUCCAGCCGACGAAGUUCCCAAACAGCUUUGCCGAGCCCCUGCCUGUGAUCACUAUGAUGAAGACAGAAAGUAAUCCAAAGGUGUGACAGAGGGCUGGUGAUGAGGAAUGCCGUUUCUGACUGUUUUCAGAGAAGAAUAUCACAUGUUGGAAUACCAAGGGGAAGGGAAUGUGGGAAUUCCCUCUAAUGCUGGGAACGAUGGAAGAAAAAAGAAGAGGAUGACUAACAGCAAGGGGAAUGGACUCAGUUACAAUAGCGAUGAGUGUAUUGUUUGAAGAACUGAAGGACCAAAUAAUUGUGGAGAAAAUCUAUGUGGCUGGCAAGACCAUGACAAGGACUUGAUAGCAUGUAAUCAAUCAAACUACAUUUCACCACUACCGCCCAGUACAAAGGAGAAAACGAUGAAGGAAUAAAAGACUAGAGAAAAUAAAGUUCAUUUGUUGCUUUUCAUACUGGAAGCUAGAAACUCACAAUAGGAAAGGUUUCCCUUGUUAAAUUUCUCUUUGUCACAUGACUACUUACAGAUCCAGGAGCCUAUCCAGGAAAGGAAAAAAAAACUGUUUUCCAUCCCCUUCCUUGUCUUAAACAUCAUGGCAAUACUUGCUCAUUUUCCAGAUUUUUUUUUUCUUUUUUGUGAGUAUCCAUCUAUAACAUUCUGUGAAGUUAUUUUAUAGACAACUAUAAAGAGCUUAGCACAAGAAAUACUGUGCAGUGCUUUAUGACUCACUUCGAUUCUCUUUCCAGCUUAGUACUGCCAUCUUGUGGACAAACUCUAAUUUUUGAAGCUGACUAUAUACCGGUAGUUAAAUAUUAUCCAUUUAUUUGCUGCCAUUGUUAUACAUAAUGUAUGUGCAUAAGAAGUGCAAUUUAUGUCCCUUAAAUACGCUACUUAGCCAUAUCUAGAUAUUCGCUUUAACUAUAUUAAAAUAAAUCAUACCUAAUGGAGAGCAGAGGUAGGUUGGUAUAGUGGUUAAGUUACCAAGCUAUAAAUCAGGAAACUGUGACUUCUAGUCCUGCCUUAAGCAUAAAGCCAGCUGGAGACCUUGGUCAGUUAUUUUUUUUCUCCAUCCUAGAAAGAAAGCGAGGGCAAACCACUUCUGAAAUCUUGCCAAGAAAACUGCAGAGCCUUGUCCAGGAAUCCAUGCUGACCGAAGACCCAUGUAAAGUUUACCAGUUUAUAGAAGAAAAAAGAAAGAGAAGAAUGAUAACUUUUCCUGCUUUAAAAAUUAUCCUAAAAGAGGAAUGGUCAUCAAAAGGGAGCAGAGGAUUGUCAGUGGUGAGAUGGAAAAGAGCCUGGAAGGCAAUCUGAAUUGGAGAUCUAAUUGGUGUCAAUUACUGGCAAGGUUAUUGGAAGGAGAAGAAGAUGUACUCAUGGUUAAUUGAUUCCAGGAGGCACAAUGAAUACCAAGAAUGAUGAAUGCCAAAUAAUUUUUCCCAUAAGGAAUAAUGUAGUGAGUCACAAGGCAGCCGACAUCAACAAGUUCUAGCUUGUGCAUUGAGUACCAAACAAAUGAUGAGUACCGGGACAAAAUUUUCAUGUCAAAAUGUGUUGAGUACCAAAUUUGAUGAGUUUCAAAGCAGUUGAGUAGCAAAGUACUACUGUACUUGAGAAUAUUAAUCCAGAAAUAGUGAUAUGAAAGAUCUGGAGAUUGCUUGGAGGACUACAGAUGAAUAUUGUGGCUAGGACGUUCAUGCCAUUUCUGGCUAUUUGAUGCACUAGGGACAGUUCUGUGCCUUUGUAGAGAGGACUGGAAGGAAUGCUCCACAGGGCACACAGAAACAAACAGACCAAUACACAUGAACUUGAUAUGUCUACAAAAAAGGGGAAAAUGUAGAUAAUGCCCUUCUCUACUUACCAACUGGAGAAAAGGGAAUCGGGAGAUUCCAAUUACUUUUUGGGUGGAGAAUCCCUUUUAUACUCUGUAAGGCAGGCGUGUCCAACUUUGGCAACUUCAAGACUUGUGGACUUCAACUCCUAGAAUUCCCCACCCAGCCAUGCAGUUGAAGUCCACAAGUCCACAUCCACACCCCUUGCUGUAAGUUACAGCAUCUAUGCUAGUUCUCACACAUGUGUUUGUUUACCCUCAUGGUUCCAGCUUUGUACAUUUUCUUCUAGUUUCAUGUUUUGGUUCCUUUCUCAAAGAAAUAAAACCUUGUUUACCGGUUCUAACCAUGUAA